rnacentral:rRNA from 1 species
AUCGAACGCUGGCGGCAGGCCUAACACAUGCAAGUCGAGCGAGCGGCGGACGGGUGAGUAAUGUCUGGGAAACUGCCUGAUGGAGGGGGAUAACUACUGGAAACGGUAGCUAAUACCGCAUACCAUCAGAUGUGCCCAGAUGGGAUUAGCUAGUAGGUGGGGUAACGGCUCACCUAGGCGACGAUCCCUAGCUGGUCUGAGAGGAUGACCAGCCAACCUGGAACUGGGACACGGCCCAGACUCGUACGGGAGGAAGCAGUGGGGAAUAUUUAACAAUGGGGGCAAGCGUGAUGCAGCCGUUCCGCGUGGUUGAAGAAGGCCUUGGGGUUGUAAGGCACUGUCGGCGGGAAGACGGUACCCGAAGAGGAAGCACCGGGUAACUCCAUGCCAGCAGCCGCGGUAAUUC